GACGAACGCUGGCGGCGUGCCUAAUACAUGCAAGUAGAACGCUGAAGGAGGAGCUUGCUUCUCCGGAUGAGUUGCGAACGGGUGAGUAACGCGUAGGUAACCUGCCUGGUAGCGGGGGAUAACUAUUGGAAACGAUAGCUAAUACCGCAUAAGAGUAGAUGUCGCAUGACAUUUGCUUAAAAGGUGCAACUGCACCACUACCAGAUGGACCUGCGUUGUAUUAGCUAGUUGGUGAGGUAACGGCUCACCAAGGCAACGAUACAUAGCCGACCUGAGAGGGUGAUCGGCCACACUGGGACUGAGACACGGCCCAGACUCCUACGGGAGGCAGCAGUAGGGAAUCUUCGGCAAUGGACGGAAGUCUGACCGAGCAACGCCGCGUGAGUGAAGAAGGUUUUCGGAUCGUAAAGCUCUGUUGUAAGAGAAGAACGAGUGUGAGAGUGGAAAGUUCACACUUUGACGGUAUCUUACCAGAAAGGGACGGCUAACUACGUG
rnacentral:rRNA from 1 species